CCCCUAGGCUGGCCAGGCCCAUCAGGGCUUGUGGAAUGGGAAGGAGAAGGGACACUUCCCCUUCUGCAGGCCUGCUGGGUGUGGCUGGACCCCUCGUGUGCUCACCCACUC